rnacentral:rRNA from 1 species
AUUGAACGCUGGCGGCAUGCUUUACACAUGCAAGUCGAACGGUAACAGGCCGCAAGGUGCUGACGAGUGGCGAACGGGUGAGUAAUGCAUCGGAACGUGCCCAGUCGUGGGGGAUAACUGCUCGAAAGAGCAGCUAAUACCGCAUACGAUCUAUGGAUGAAAGCGGGGGACCGUAAGGCCUCGCGCGAUUGGAGCGGCCGAUGUCAGAUUAGGUAGUUGGUGGGGUAAAGGCUCACCAAGCCAACGAUCUGUAGCUGGUCUGAGAGGACGACCAGCCACACUGGGACUGAGCCACGGGCCAGACUCCUACGGGAGGAAGCAGUGGGGAAUUUUGGACAAUGGGGGCAACCCUGAUCCAGCAAUGCCGCGUGCAGGAAGAAGGCCUUCGUGUUGUAAACUGCUUUUGUACGGAACGAAACGGUCUGGGUUAAUACCCUGGGCUAAUGACGGUACCGUAAGAAUAAGCACCGGCUAACUACGUGCCAGCCGCCGCCGUAAGAC